AUGUAUCUACUAAAGAUAAGGGAGAACCUUUUAUCUUGGCUGAAUCGUUGUUUGAGAGAAAAUAGAAAGACGAAGGCGAUGAAGAGGAUACAUGAGCGGUCAAGUCAGCGUGAGGUGGAGAAGAUGUGGUGUUUCUGUCGGCGGCGCUGGGCCAGCAACAUCAGGCAGUGGACUACGGGGAGCUGCCGUGGGUGGUGGCUACAGUUUCCACGAGAGUGGGGUGGGGGUGGCACACGUGGGGGCGAUGGCAGCAAGUGGAUCCGUACCGCUGAGGUGCACAACCACUCCGAGAAGCCACAACAGCAGAGGAGCGGGAUCGGUGAGAAGAUUGAAGGUGUUGCGGACCCUGAUACUCAAUUCCAACAAGGUCAUGACCUUUUUUUCCUUCUUUCUUUGUCGGUGGAUUUGCGGCUGCUGAGUUCGUGUUUGUGA
rnacentral:rRNA from 1 species